rnacentral:misc_RNA from 1 species
UCAACCCGGCAAUGCGCACCUGCCAGACGCUGAACACGCGUAUGCACGAUCUCAACAAUAAGCUGACCCGCGCCGCAAACCUGCUGCGCACCCGCAUCGACGUCGAGAUCGAACAGCAGAACCGCGACCUGCUCUCAGCCAUGAGCGAGCGCGCACGGAUGCAGCUUCGCCUGCAGCAGACCGUUGAAGGACUUUCGGUCGCGGCAAUCAGCUACUACGUCGCGAGCCUGCUGCACUACGUGUUCGAGUCGG